UGUGGGAGCGAGCCUGCUCGCGAUGGCGCCGGGUCAGUCAACUUUGAUGUGACUGAUACACCGCUAUCGCGAGCAGGCUCGCUCCCACA
rnacentral:misc_RNA from 1 species